rnacentral:rRNA from 1 species
UACGUAGGGUGCGAGCGUUGCCCGGAUUUAUUGGGCGUAAAGGGCUCGUAGGCGGUUUGUCGCGUCGGGAGUGAAAACCCAGGGCUUAACUCUGGGCUUGCUUUCGAUACGGGCAGACUAGAGGUAUGCAGGGGAGAACGGAAUUCCUGGUGUAGCGGUGAAAUGCGCAGAUAUCAGGAGGAACACCGGUGGCGAAGGCGGUUCUCUGGGCAUUACCUGACGCUGAGGAGCGAAAGUGUGGGGAGCGAACAGG